AUUGAACGCUGGCGGCAGGCCUAACACAUGCAAGUCGAGCGAGCGGCGGACGGGUGAGUAAUGUCUGGGAAACUGCCUGAUGGGGGGGGAUAACUACUGGAAACGGUAGCUAAUACCGCAUACCAUCAGAUGUGCCCAGAGUGGGUUAGCUAGUAGGUGGGGUAACGGCUCACCCAGGCGACGAUCCCUAGCGGGUCUGAGAGGAUUAUCCGCCACACUGGAACUGGGACACGGCCCCGACUCCUACGGGAGGCAGCAGUGGGGAAUAUUGGACAAUGGGCGCAAGCCUGAUGCAGCCAGGCCGCGUGUGUGAAGAAGGCCUUCGGGUUGUAAAGCACUUUCAGCGGGGAGGCGUUACCCGCAGAAGAAGCACCGGCUAACUCCGUGCCAGCCGCCGCGGUAAUAC
rnacentral:rRNA from 1 species